AAAACGGCCCUUUUCAGGGCCACCACAUCUAAAUGUGCCUAUACAU
rfam:Macrostomum lignano uti_cns_0001394, whole genome shotgun sequence.